AAGUCGAGCGCGAAAGGGAGCAAUCCUGAGUAGAGCGGCGGACGGGUGAGUAACGCGUAGGAAUCUACCUAGUAGUGGGGGACAACCCGGCGAAAGCCAGGCUAAUACCGCAUACAACCCACGGGUAAAAGCAGGGGAUCGUAAGACCUUGCGCUAUUAGAUGAGCCUGCGUCCGAUUAGCUAGUUGGUGAGGUAAUGGCUCACCAAGGCAACGAUCGGUAACUGGUUUGAGAGAACGACCAGUCACAUUGGGACUGAGACACGGCCCAAACUCCUACGGGAGGCAGCAGUGGGGAAUAUUGGACAAUGGGGGAAACCCUGAUCCAGCGACGCCGCGUGUGUGAAGAAGGCCUUCGGGUUGUAAAGCACUUUCGGCAGGGACAAACAAGACGGAGCUAACAUCUCCGUUCCUGAUGGUACCUGAAGAAGAAGCACCGGCUAACUCUGUGCCAGCAGCCGCGGUAAUACAGAGGGUGCAAGCGUUAAUCGGAAUUACUGGGCGUAAAGCGUGUGNAGGUGGUUUGCUAAGUCAGGUGUGAAAUCCCCAGGCUCAACCUGGGAACUGCAUUUGAUACUGGCGGACUAGAGUGUGGUAGAGGAUGGUGGAAUUCCCGGUGUAGCGGUGAAAUGCGUAGAUAUCGGGAGGAACAUCAGUGGCGAANGCGGCCAUCUGGACUAACACUGACACUGAGACACGAAAGCGUGGGGGAGCAAACAGGAUUAGAUAC
rnacentral:rRNA from 1 species